rnacentral:rRNA from 1 species
ACUCCUACGGGAGGCAGCAGUAGGGAAUCUUCCACAAUGGGCGAAAGCCUGAUGGAGCAACGCCGCGUGGGUGAAGAAGGUCUUCGGAUCGUAAAACCCUGUUGUUAGAGAAGAAAGUGCGUGAGAGUAACUGUUCACGUUUCGACGGUAUCUAACCAGAAAGCCACGGCUAACUACGUGCCAGCAGCCGCGGUAAUACGUAGGUGGCAAGCGUUAUCCGGAUUUAUUGGGCGUAAAGGGAACGCAGGCGGUCUUUUAAGUCUGAUGUGAAGGCCUUCGGCUUAACCGGAGUAGUGCAUUGGAAACUGGGAGACUUGAGUGCAGAAGAGGAGAGUGGAACUCCAUGUGUAGCGGUGAAAUGCGUAGAUAUAUGGAAGAACACCAGUGGCGAAAGCGGCUCUCUGGUCUGUAACUGACGCUGAGGUUCGAAAGCGUGGGUAGCAAACAGGAUUAGAUACCCUGGUAGGAUAGCG